rnacentral:other from 1 species
UAACUUCUGCAGCGUUCGAGAAGUUUCUUGGUUCUUUCCCUUACUCUAUUACAACCCGGGAGCCUGUCGACAGGCGUCCGCCGUCAGGCCGUAAAUCGGAAGACGAAAGGCGUCGCGAGGGCACCCACCUGACCUAUUAAGGUCAAAGGACCAGAGUUUUGCGACGUACGGCGCCGGUGGAAGUUUU